GUUGACCUCGGAUCAGGUAGGAAUACCCGCUGAACUUAAGCAUAUCAAAAGCCGGAGGAA
rnacentral:rRNA from 2 species